rnacentral:rRNA from 1 species
GAUGAACGCUGGCGGCGUGCCUAAUACAUGCAAGUCGAGCGAACAGACGAGGAGCUUGCUCCUCUGACGUUAGCGGCGGACGGGUGAGUAACACGUGGAUAACCUACCUAUAAGACUGGGAUAACUUCGGGAAACCGGAGCUAAUACCGGAUAAUAUAUUGAACCGCAUGGUUCAAUAGUGAAAGACGGUUUUGCUGUCACUUAUAGAUGGAUCCGCGCCGCAUUAGCUAGUUGGUAAGGUAACGGCUUACCAAGGCAACGAUGCGUAGCCGACCUGAGAGGGUGAUCGGCCACACUGGAACUGAGACACGGUCCAGACUCCUACGGGAGGCAGCAGUAGGGAAUCUUCCGCAAUGGGCGAAAGCUUGACGGAGCAACGCCGCGUGGGUGAUGAAGGUCUUCGGAUCGUAAAACUCUGUUAUUGGGGAAGAACAAAUGUGUAAGUAACUAUGCACGUCUUGACGGUACCUAAUCAGAAAGCCACGGCUAACUACGUG